GGCUCGGUAGCUUAGUAGGUAAAGCAUACAAGCAUACAAGAGUCCUGGGUUCGAAUCCCUGCCGAGCUC
rnacentral:tRNA from 2 species